rnacentral:lncRNA from 1 species
UGAUUUCUCUGGGGACAUGAUUCACAAAGAAUACUCUUCAAGUCUUUGUCUCCAUAUGGAAUCAUUGAAACUACUAUUUAUCAUCACCACUACUUACGAGCCUGGGUUUGGAAUUCCGUGUAUGUUGUUCAGUCUCGUGUUGGUAGCAUGACAAAAAGUGGGGAAAAUGCUGCAGUUUGUUGCCUUGAAACCUGUUCUAAGAGAAAGCCUUGGUUUUGUUGGUAGGAGAUUAUUUUUUCAAACCAGCAAAUCUACCAAGUAAAUUUCGUUCACUUUGACCUUAGUAGACUCCCUCAAUUUUCAGCUCUUUGUGUGGCUUGACAAAAUUCACUGCACUGUUAUGCAGCUCUGAAUUUACCUUGAUGAACCAGAUUACUUUCACAAUUUAUUAAAUCAAAAACAAAAUGUAUUGAAACUUCCUUAACUGUUUUAGGGAUAGGGGAUCCUUUAUUAUCCCAUCAGAUGAGUGAGCUUUUCAUAAACAUUUUAUGUAAAAAAUAAAUUCAACUUUUUUUCUCCAAGGAUAUUUAUAUAAAUCCAAAGAAUUAGAGUAGUUUCAAAAUAAUAUUUAGUAAUUAAAAUGUGGUAUAAUUUAAUUAUAAUACACUAAAUUUGAAAUAUAUCUAAGGGGCUUUCUCUUACCAUCAAUAGAUUUUGCAAUAUUUCUUUAUAUUUGUGGGGGAAUAACUUAAAUUUUAUCAGGAACUAAAAGGUAAAUAAGGCUUAUAAAUUUUCUGCCCCUUAAAUUUAUGUCACAGUACAAGAUGCUUUUUCUUCCUUACACUUAAUACAAACAGCUUCCAUUGGCAGUAAUAGUUGGGAGUAGUAGUA